rnacentral:tRNA from 1 species
GCCUGCGUAGCGUAAUCGGCAGCGCACGUCCGUGGUAUGGACGCGGUCCAGGUUCGACUCCUGGCGCAGGCU